rnacentral:misc_RNA from 1 species
GUCUUUUGGUUUUUGUUUUGUAUUUGUGUGUGUUUUUAAUGGAGGGAGGUUAAAGGGUUGUUUUUGGUAAAAGGGGGUGCGUUGGGAGAAGGGGCGCAGAGGCGCAGAGACGCAGGGAGACCCUACGCUUCGCGCUCGACGCCACGACGCCCAACCGCAUAACGUCCACAAAGGAGGGGUGUGUGUGUGUAAGAAAGAAUGAAAUUCUUUGAUGAUCCUUCCGCAGGUUCACCUACGGAAA